rnacentral:rRNA from 1 species
UACGGAGGAUGCAAGCGUUAUCCGGAAUCAUUGGGCGUAAAGAGUUCGUAGGUGGCUUAUCAAGUCUGUCGUGAAAGGUUGGGGCUUAACCCCAAAAAUGCGAUGGAAACUGUUAGGCUUGAGUACGGUAGGGGCAGAGGGAAUUCCUGGUGUAGCGGUGAAAUGCGUAGAUAUCAGGAAGAACACCGAUGGCGAAAGCACUCUGCUGGGCCGUUACUGACACUGAGGAACGAAAGCUAGGGGAG